rnacentral:antisense_RNA from 18 species
GGUGUUUGCAGAAGUAGCUUGCUGCGCUCUUUGAUAUCGCCACCAAUGUGGUAAGGCAAGCCGCAAUUCGCAAAAGAGACAAAAGGACCACGUUCAAACAUGAUUAUCUGUGCAUCUUCACUCAAACGACGUGCUCUAGCUGCUGCUGAAGCACCACCUGCGACGCCAC